GCCUCCUUAGCUCAGUCGGUAGAGCAAUCGCCUUGUAAGCGAUAGGUCGUCAGUUCGAUCCUGACAGGGGGCUCCA
rnacentral:tRNA from 1 species